CACGGGGAAUCAGGGUUCGAUUCCGGAGAGGGAGCCUGAGAAACGGUACCACAUCUAAGGAAGGCAGCAGGCACGCAAAUUACCCACUCCCAGCCCGGGGAGGUAGUGACGAAAAAUAACGAUGCGAGACUCUUCCGAGGCCUCGCAAUCGGAAUGAGUCCAUCCUAAAUCUUUGGACGAGGAUCCAUUGGAGGGCAAGUCUGGUGCCAGCAGCCGCGGUAAUUCCAGCUCCAAUAGCGUAUAUUAAAGUUGCUGCGGUUAAAAAGCUCGUAGUUGGACUUUCUAGAUCCAUUUCGUGGGUGAGUCGCUCGUUGUACUAGCGAUUCGCGUCAGUCACUAGAUAAUGUCGUGUUUCGGCGGCGAGUACUUCUACUAAGUUGGCUUCGGCUUUCUAUAGGGGAGCCGUCGUCGUUUCGCGGUAAACUUUCUAGCGGACGGUGUUUCUCGGUCUUCGGGUAUAGCUCGCCCGCGUUUGGUACAAUUAAAAUUUUGUCGGCUCGCUCGGAGUGCUCUUUACCGAGUGUUCCAGGGUGGCCGACACGUUCACUUUGAAAAAAUUAGAGUGCUUAAAGCGGGCUGUAAAAACGGCCGGAAUGUCUGUGCAUGGAAUGAAGUAACAGGACCUCGAUUCUGUUCUUUUUGUCGGUUUUAAUGAACCGAGGUAAUGAUUAAAAGGGACAGACGGUGGCAUUAGUAUUGCGACGCUAGAGGUGAAAUUCUUGGACCGUCGCAAGACUAACUACUGCGAAAGCAUUUGCCGAGAAUGUUUUCAUUAAUCAAGAACGAAAGUUAGAGGAUCGAAGGCGAUCAGAUACCGCCCUAGUUCUAACCCUAAACUAUGCUAACUAGCGAUCCGCCGAAGUCAUUCCCACGACUCGGCGGGAAGCCCCAGG
rnacentral:rRNA from 1 species